GAAAUGGCAGUCUCAGCUGGACCUACUUUGAUAAAACAGUAUUAACAGAAUCACAACAGGUUUUUUUUCCCCUCUAAGAAACAGAGGAGUAUGUGCUGACAUCAAGGACUCUAAUAAUGUUAAAAGUGUAUGUUGAUUUUAUAAAAAAUGUUUUAAAUUUUAUAAUAAAAACUACAAUGAUGUCCCCA